rnacentral:lncRNA from 1 species
GCCGAUUUACAACAAGGCAAACUGGCGGAAACAAUGAAAAAAGAAGUAAUCAACUUACAACAUACGUAUACCAUACAGAAAAAGGUUGAUACACAUACUGUUGAUGAACUGUGGCUAGAAUUCAAAACAAAACUCAAUGAACUAGUCAGUGAGCAUAUUCCACACAAAAAGCUAACUACAAAAAAUAAAACCCCAUGGGUAACAUUUGAAACAAGAAAAUUAAUGAAAAAGAGAGACAGACUUUAUAAAAAGAUGAAAAAGUCUUGAAAUGACAACAUGAGAAACAAGUAUAAGCAAAUUAAACAUCAGGUACAAAAACAACUCAGCCAAUCAUACUGGCAAUACAUUGAAAAAUAUGUAACACCAAAAC